UAUCCCUAACCUCACCAAGCCCACCAUCCCCACACAUCGCGUGCCUUGGAUCGCGCCGCUGCCCUGCUCCCGUCGUUGUUCCCUUUCCCAUCCGCCGCUGCUGUCCAUCGCAUCCAACCUCUAUCACAUCCCAUCGGCUCAACCGCCACCAUGAACCAUCACUCUCCUUGGUCUCUUCUAUUUGACCUGCACACGAUCGCAGAUGCUUCUGGUGGUGUGUGGCGACGCGGCCGAUCGAGGGAACCGGGGUGAGGCGGACUGUGUCCCGUUCGUCGAUCUGCCCCCAUCUCCUGUUCCUCCUCUCAGAAUGUCAUGUUCGCAGUUACUGUGACACAUAAUGCUAUCCUCUUUUGCAGCGGUGCCUAUAGGUGACAACAAUGGUGUUCUGAUGUGCCCUGUUGUACCCCUCCACACUUGAGGCCGCCGAGGAGAAGAUCACGCUCCCUGUAGAAAAUUCGGCCAUGUUCUAAGUGGCUAGCCGGCAAGGGUUGGACGACAUAAUGCCAACGACCUCACCCUAGGAGUCCACUUCACGGUCAUGGCAUCUGCCUCUACCAAUUAUCUAGAGGAGUUAAGUUCCAGAGAUGAAUGAGGAGGUUAACUUUGAGAUGCAGCACUCUAUGUGUUCACGCAAUCGGAAUGGCCGAAAUAUCAUGCCAAUAUGAGGGACCUCCGAACUAUCAAGCCAAUAUGCGUUUUAUGCCUUUCCUGUUAGGAUUAUCUCCCUUCUCCAUGGAUAAAUUGCUUGAUGUGUUCCAUGGUGCAGUUGAAUUGGAUACAAGCAUGCUACAAAUCUUGUAGUAAUUUAAUAAGGCAUUUGAUGGGCUCCUAUCAUUCUAAUCUACUUCCCACAUUUUAGUGUUGAUGUUAAUUAGUACUCUGUAGUGAGCCUAAGAAAUAGUACUAUGGGGAGAAUCAGGCAACACCUAAUAUGUAUGUCGUUUGAGAAAAAUGAAACUUCCUACUUUCCAACGGUCGGUUACGUAUGUACAUGUAAAAAAGCACCAUCUUAGACAAAUAUAUCAUUCACCAAGUUUAGUGAAAGUUAGCUUAAAUACCAUGUAUUUUUCCGCACGCAGAUUAUUGCCUACUGUAGGCCAUCCUCUAUAUAUAUAUGAUAGUCUAAUAAUAGUCAAGCAUGACAAAAAAACUUCACUCCAGUAAUUUCGUUGCUCCAUAAGAGCUAACAAUUGUUAAAAAAACAAAUCACAUACUCCAUGUGUCCCAAAUUAAGUGACUCAACUUUGUACUAACUUUGUAAUGAUUUCAUCUCUUUCUAGGAAUAGGCACUGUAUUUUCACUCUUAUGCAAAAAGACUUGAAAUCAGGAUUUUUAUUUUAUUUUUUCAUGAUAUUCAGAGGAAUAUUAGCUUCAGUACCAUACAAAGGGUGACGCAAGUGGUACUUGACAUACCAUGGCGUCCAAUGUCUAGGUUAGCAGAACCACAUCAUGUUUUGCUCUUUGCGUUCUAUACAUCAGCAAUGGACAAGAGCAGUGAUGGAGUCCUAAGAAAGAACCCAAAAAUAACUGCACUGUCUUAUUCACAUUUGAGGGCAAAACUACAUCAAGGAAUGAGGUUAAGCAAAUAUCGGUGCUCAAGAUGUUACGAGACACUUCUCAUGCAUGUUGAUAUUCUCCUUUUUUUGAGUUUCCUUUAAGGUGCAGUAUUUUGUUUUAUUUGUUAUACAAAAUAGUGCAGUUGUUUGUGAUUUGAUAUGAAGGCAUGUAAUUCCUUGGAAAACUCCCACACUAUAUUUUGAUCCAAGUUCAAUUGUACUGAUGUCGAUUAAUACAUUUACAGUACAUUAUUAA